rnacentral:tRNA from 1 species
GACUCGGUAGCUUAGUUGGUAAAGCACUCGUCUAGCAUACAAGAAUCGUGGAUUCGAAUCCAACCCGAGCA